GUGAAGUCCUGUGUUUGUCUGUGGCCACUUCCCAGGUUUUUAACUCAUUGACAAACAGAAAAGACCAUGAUACUUUUCCUUCAUAUAAUGUUCUAUUUAGCUAUCAUACAGGGUAUCCAAUCAGACGUUCAGUUGGUGGAGUCGGGAGGAGAUAUGAAAAGGCCUGGAGAAUCCCUCCGUCUAUCCUGUCAGGGAUCAGGGUACAACUUUGGAGGCUAUGGCAUGAGUUGGAUACGACAGGCUCCUGGGAAGGGGCUGGAAUGGGUUGCGUAUAUAUAUUCUGAUGCGAGUGAGCAAUACUAUGCAGACUCGGUGAAAGGGCGCUUCACCGUCUCCAGGAACAACCCUUCAAACAUGCUCUAUCUGCAGAUGAAUGACCUGAAAACAGAAGACACAGCCAUGUAUUACUGUGCAAGGAGCACAGUGAGAGGAAGUAAAACUGAAGCCAGACAAAAACCAGCCUUUGCUCCAAAGAAUUCUCCAGUUGACUGAACAAUAUGACAUUCAUGCUACAGGACGAAAGGAAGUUAAGGGGCUUCAAAACCUAAUACAAGUCCUUCUUUUCUGAAAUAAAAAUCUACUUUUUUCCAGUAUAAAUAAGAUACUUCUGCCAAACCUUUUCAUUUUGAAUUAUUUGAGUUAUAUGUUUUUGAAAUCUAACUAAUUCAAUCAUAAAAUAUGUUUAAUUCCAACCCCUGUC